rnacentral:rRNA from 1 species
UACGGAGGGUGCAAGCGUUAAUCGGAAUUACUGGGCGUAAAGCGUGCGCAGGCGGUUUGUUAAGUCUGUUGUGAAAUCCCCGAGCUCAACUUGGGAAUUGCAAUGGAUACUGGCAGGCUGGAGUAUGGUAGAGGAAGGUGGAAUUCCCGGUGUAGCAGUGAAAUGCGUAGAGAUCGGGAGGAACACCAGUGGCGAGGGCGGCCUUCUGGACCAAUACUGACGCUCAUGCACGAAAGCGUGGGGAGCAAACAGG